UUCGCGGAGCGCUGGGGGUGCGGGGGCUGCACGGGGGAUGCAGGCUGCCGAGGACACACAUCACCCUCCGGGGAACCAUUUCGGUCCCAGCGUGGGACUGUGAUGGCCAAUAGGUCCAACAGGUCCCUGUGGUCGUGGAGUCCCAGAAGCAGGGGGCAGCGGGAGCCCUCGGGAGCCCCAGCUAGGGAUGUAACAGCUUCCACUGCCAUGCUGCCUGAGGCAACUGCACAGGACCUACCAUCCAAAACUGGCUCUUACCAAAACAUGGGGAGCUCCUGAGGACCCCAUCACCUCCUCUCAGUGGGCUUGGUUCCUCAGCACCUGAAUCAGCUUGUCCCAGGCUUUUUGGAUGGCAACCAGAUUUCAGCUGAUUUCAACCUCUCCCGCUGAGUCACCACGAGUUCUGCAUCCAGGCUGCAUUCAUUCGCCUUUUCACCUCAAAGAGAGGAAAAGCCCAUGAUGUCAGGGAGCUCAGGGACUCUUAAAUCCCUCAAGCAGGAGCCAGCCCCUCACCCAGCCCUUCAAUGGGAUCAGAUCUUCCCUACUUUCAGUGCUGCUUUUCCCCCCUCUUCUGUGGGUCCAGCAGCCAAGGGGUUUUCUGUGAACUGGUCAGGGAUGAGAGUGUUGGCUCUGAUCUUCCUGGCAUUGCAUACAUUUAAACCUCAUCCUUCUCCUUCAGUUGCCAGGGGUUUCUAUGGGAAUAAAUUCUUUUUCAUGCUUGGGAUUUAUCUUUUCCGCAGCAGUCAUACCUUCAAGGGGCAGAGGGGGCCAGAACUGCUGAACCCAUGGAAGUGGCAAGAGGGAAGUGGCAGGAUUAGAGGCCCUGGGACUUUUCAUUUUACCUGUCUCUGAAAAGACUCCAUGAAAAAGGCAGGGACCAUAAAACUCCAACACAAAUGCUCCAGCAUGACCCUGCUCCUCCCCAAAGUUCCUGUUGUGAUGGUGCCAUCUCGACCUGGCAGAGGUGAGCUGGGACCCCAACCCUGCUGCAGGCAGCUCUGCACCCCUUGGCCACCCUUCCCACGGUGUCACCCAGUGCUGGCAGUGCCACCAGGACCCCUCCUGAGGUGUGCAGCUGGUGGUGGACAGAGCACAGAGCUGCCAUCAGCAGAGAGGAACCUAGAGGUGACCAGCUGGGAAGCAGAGGCCUGAAUCCAAGCCCCGAGGCACAGGGCAGGGUUUGACACCCAUCCCCAGCUCCAGGCUGAGGCUGUGCUGCACACAGGGCUGGUCUGGGCCAGGAGGAGAAGCAGCCUGGGGCAGACGUGCUGGCUGCCCAGGCUGGCUGUGCAGGACCAGCAGGAUCAAUGUGCUGUAUUGAAGGGCUCCAUGGGCAUCGGGUACCACCCCAGGCACAGGCAGGCCAGUGACGAUGUGCAGAGGAGUCACAGCUAAAUUUAGCCUCAUUUGUGCGUGAGUGUGAUGUGUUUAUUCUUGCCCUUAAAUAAAAACGUUGU